rnacentral:lncRNA from 1 species
UCUAACAAUUUUAAUUUCAGGUCUUACUUUUAUUACGUAGCAAUACAAAAUCUACACGCAAUGUCAACUUGACCCUUCUAAAAUUCUAACUUGCAGUUUUCACCUAUUCAAAUCCGAUUUUUCUUAUUAUAUGUGAACAUUCUUCUUUUCCCUUAACUUCCCUAAAGUUUUCACCUUUUAUCAAUCACAAGUCCUUCUACUUCUACUAAGAAAUCUACCAAAUAAACAUCUUGAAACAAGAGCAUCUCCUUCUCUUUACAACCUCGUUAUCCUUCCCCACUAUUCAAGACAAAUGUUAUUUAAUCACAUAAACUUUACUUCAU